AUUGUUCGCUGGCGGCAUGCCUUACACAUGCAAGUCGAACGGCAGCACGGAGCUUGCUCUGGUGGCGAGUGGCGAACGGGUGAGUAAUAUAUCGGAACGUACCCUGGAGUGGGGGAUAACGUAGCGAAAGUUACGCUAAUACCGCAUACGAUCUAAGGAUGAAAGUGGGGGAUCGCAAGACCUCAUGCUCGUGGAGCGGCCGAUAUCUGAUUAGCUAGUUGGUAGGGUAAAAGCCUACCAAGGCAUCGGUCAGUAGCUGGUCUGAGAGGACGACCAGCCACACUGGAACUGAGACACGGUCCAGACUCCUACGGGAGGCAGCAGUGGGGAAUUUUGGACAAUGGGCGAAAGCCUGAUCCAGCAAUGCCGCGUGAGUGAAGAAGGCCUUCGGGUUGUAAAGCUCUUUUGUCAGGGAAGAAACGGUGAAGGCUAAUAUCCUUUGCUAAUGACGGUACCUGAAGAAUAAGCACCGGCUAACUACGUGCCAGCAGCCGCGGUAAUACGUAGGGUGCAAGCGUUAAUCGGAAUUACUGGGCGUAAAGCGUGCGCAGGCGGUUUUGUAAGUCUGAUGUGAAAUCCCCGGGCUCAACCUGGGAAUUGCAUUGGAGACUGCAAGGCUAGAAUCUGGCAGAAGGGGGGUAAAAUCCCCGUGUACCAGUGAAAUGCGUAGAUAUGUGGAGGAAUACCGAUGGCGAAAGCAGCCCCCUUGGGUCAAGAUUGCCGCUCAUGCACGAAAGCGUGGGGAGCAAACAGGAUUAGAUACCCUGGUAGUCCACGCCCUAAACGAUGUCUACUAGUUGUCGGGUCUUAAUUGACUUGGUAACGCAGCUAACGCGUGAAGUGGACCGCCUGGGGAGUACGGUCGCAAGAUUAAAACUCAAAGGAAUUGACGGGGACCCGCACAAGCGGUGGAUGAUGUGGAUUAAUUCGAUGCAACGCGAAAAACCUUACCUACCCUUGACAUGGCUGGAAUCCCCGAGAGAUUGGGGAGUGCUCGAAAGAGAACCAGUACACAGGUGCUGCAUGGCUGUCGUCAGCUCGUGUCGUGAGAUGUUGGGUUAAGUCCCGCAACGAGCGCAACCCUUGUCAUUAGUUGCUACGAAAGGGCACUCUAAUGAGACUGCCGGUGACAAACCGGAGGAAGGUGGGGAUGACGUCAAGUCCUCAUGGCCCUUAUGGGUAGGGCUUCACACGUCAUACAAUGGUACAUACAGAGCGCCGCCAACCCGCGAGGGGGAGCUAAUCGCAGAAAGUGUAUCGUAGUCCGGAUUGUAGUCUGCAACUCGACUGCAUGAAGUUGGAAUCGCUAGUAAUCGCGGAUCAGCAUGUCGCGGUGAAUACGUUCCCGGGUCU
rnacentral:rRNA from 1 species